UUCAAAACCAACGUUCGGUUUGCUGCCAACU
rnacentral:piRNA from 1 species